rnacentral:rRNA from 1 species
AUUGAACGCUGGCGGCAUGCCUUACACAUGCAAGUCGAACGGUAACAGGGAGCUUGCUCCGCUGACGAGUGGCGAACGGGUGAGUAAUACAUCGGAACGUGCCCAGUAAUGGGGGAUAGCCCGGCGAAAGCCGGAUUAAUACCGCAUACGCCCUGAGGGGGAAAGUGGGGGACCGCAAGGCCUCACGUUAUUGGAGCGGCCGAUGGCUGAUUAGCUAGUUGGUAGGGUAAAGGCCUACCAAGGCGACGAUCAGUAGCUGGUCUGAGAGGACGAUCAGCCACACUGGGACUGAGACACGGCCCAGACUCCUACGGGAGGCAGCAGUGGGGAAUUUUGGACAAUGGGGGAAACCCUGAUCCAGCAAUGCCGCGUGUGCGAAGAAGGCCUUCGGGUUGUAAAGCACUUUUGUCAGGGAAGAAAUCCUUUGGGCUAAUACCCUAGGGGGAUGACGGUACCUGAAGAAUAAGCACCGGCUAACUACGUGCCAGCAGCCGCAGUAA